GAGGUUUGUUCAAGUUUGAAGAUGUUUGGAGAAUGGAGAUUGUUAAAGAUGGUGGUUUGAAGGUGGUUAUAGUGGUGGUUUGAAGAUUGAAAACGAAGUUUAAUUGUGUAGAGGAAAAGAUGAAGAUUGGAGAGAAUGAGGAAAGUGAUGAUGUGGUGAGAAUGAUGAAAAUUAUGAAUUGUGAUUAGCCUUUCAUGGUGAUGAUGAGUGAAAUUUAAAUAAAAUAGAAAUGGAGGGGAAGGUGGUUAGGGUUCAAUUAUUCAUAGCCUUUGGAUUGUAAUCCAUAUGAUAAGUUUAAGAGAGGAUGAGAUUGAAUCUCGAAGUUAGUUGGAGAUUGUAUUAGUUUUAGUGAUUGAGAUUGUUAGAGGUAGUUAUGAUAGUUAGAGAUUUGUUAGAAAGGAGAUGUAAACUAAAAUAUCAUGUAAAUGCAAAUGUGUGACAAAUUCAAAUUGAAAUACAAAUUUGAAAUGUAAAAUGCUAAUUUAGUUAUAAUAUGUAAAUAGAUGUAAAAUUGAAGGAUGUGAUGCAAAUGCGAAAUUCAAUUUUGUGAAGCAAAUGUAAUGUAAUUUUGGUAAAGUAAAAGCAUUUUUUUAUUUGAAUAAAAUGUACCUUUGUUUCAUUCAUCCCAAAAUAGAUUUUUCCUUAUGUAUAGAUAAAGCAAAAUACAAAC
rnacentral:lncRNA from 1 species